UGCAAGUCGAACGAACUCUGGUAUUGAUUGGUGCUUGCAUCAUGAUUUACAUUUGAGUGAGUGGCGAACUGGUGAGUAACACGUGGGAAACCUGCCCAGAAGCGGGGGAUAACACCUGGAAACAGAUGCUAAUACCGCAUAACAACUUGGACCGCAUGGUCCGAGCUUGAAAGAUGGCUUCGGCUAUCACUUUUGGAUGGUCCCGCGGCGUAUUAGCUAGAUGGUGGGGUAACGGCUCACCAUGGCAAUGAUACGUAGCCGACCUGAGAGGGUAAUCGGCCACAUUGGGACUGAGACACGGCCCAAACUCCUACGGGAGGCAGCAGUAGGGAAUCUUCCACAAUGGACGAAAGUCUGAUGGAGCAACGCCGCGUGAGUGAAGAAGGGUUUCGGCUCGUAAAACUCUGUUGUUAAAGAAGAACAUAUCUGAGAGUAACUGUUCAGGUAUUGACGGUAUUUAACCAGAAAGCCACGGCUAACUACGUGCCAGCAGCCGCGGUAAUACGUAGGUGGCAAGCGUUGUCCGGAUUUAUUGGGCGUAAAGCGAGCGCAGGCGGUUUUUUAAGUCUGAUGUGAAAGCCUUCGGCUCAACCGAAGAAGUGCAUCGGAAACUGGGAAACUUGAGUGCAGAAGAGGACAGUGGAACUCCAUGUGUAGCGGUGAAAUGCGUAGAUAUAUGGAAGAACACCAGUGGCGAAGGCGGCUGUCUGGUCUGUAACUGACGCUGAGGCUCGAAAGUAUGGGUAGCAAACAGGAUUAGAUACCCUGGUAGUCCAUACCGUAAACGAUGAAUGCUAAGUGUUGGAGGGUUUCCGCCCUUCAGUGCUGCAGCUAACGCAUUAAGCAUUCCGCCUGGGGAGUACGGCCGCAAGGCUGAAACUCAAAGGAAUUGACGGGGGCCCGCACAAGCGGUGGAGCAUGUGGUUUAAUUCGAAGCUACGCGAAGAACCUUACCAGGUCUUGACAUACUAUGCAAAUCUAAGAGAUUAGACGUUCCCUUCGGGGACAUGGAUACAGGUGGUGCAUGGUUGUCGUCAGCUCGUGUCGUGAGAUGUUGGGUUAAGUCCCGCAACGAGCGCAACCCUUAUUAUCAGUUGCCAGCAUUAAGUUGGGCACUCUGGUGAGACUGCCGGUGACAAACCGGAGGAAGGUGGGGAUGACGUCAAAUCAUCAUGCCCCUUAUGACCUGGGCUACACACGUGCUACAAUGGAUGGUACAACGAGUUGCGAACUCGCGAGAGUAAGCUAAUCUCUUAAAGCCAUUCUCAGUUCGGAUUGUAGGCUGCAACUCGCCUACAUGAAGUCGGAAUCGCUAGUAAUCGCGGAUCAGCAUGCCGCGGUGAAUACGUUCCCGGGCCUUGUACACACCGCCCGUCACACCAUGAGAGUUUGUAACACCCAAAGUCGGUGGGGUAACCUUUUAGGAACCAGCCGCCC
rnacentral:rRNA from 1 species